rnacentral:rRNA from 1 species
CCUACGGGAGGCAGCAGUGGGGAAUCUUGCGCAAUGGGGGCAACCCUGACGCAGCCAUGCCGCGUGAAUGAUGAAGGCCUUAGGGUUGUAAAGUUCUUUUGCCCGUGACGAUGAUGACGGUAACGGGAGAAUAAGCUCCGGCUAACUUCGUGCCAGCAGCCGCGGUAAUACGAAGGGGGCUAGCGUUGUUCGGAAUUACUGGGCGUAAAGCGCGCGCAGGCGGUUCGAUAAGUUAGGGGUGAAAUCCCUGGGCUCAACCCAGGAAUGGCCUUUAAGACUGUCGAGCUAGAGGACGAGAGAGGUGAGUGGAAUUCCCAGUGUAGAGGUGAAAUUCGUAGAUAUUGGGAAGAACACCGGUGGCGAAGGCGGCUCACUGGCUCGUUUCUGACGCUGAGGCGCGAAAGCGUGGGGAGCAAACAGGAUUAGAUACCCUGGUAGUCCACGCCCUAAACGAUGAGUGCCAGGUGUCGGGAAGCUUAGCUUCUCGGCGCCGCAGCUAACGCCUUAAGCACUCCGCCUGGGGAGUACGGCCGCAAGGUUAAAACCUUAAAGGAAUUGACGG